GACGAACGCUGGCGGCGUGCUUAACACAUGCAAGUCGAACGGAAAGGCCUCUUUCGGGGGGUACUCGAGUGGCGAACGGGUGAGUAACACGUGAGUAACCUGCCCUUGACUUUGGGAUAACUUCAGGAAACUGGGGCUAAUACCGGCUAGGAGCUCCUGCUGCAUGGUGGGGGUUGGAAAGUUUCGGCGGUUGGGGAUGGACUCGCGGCUUAUCAGCUUGUUGGUGGGGUAGUGGCUUACCAAGGCUUUUACGGGUAGCCGGCCUGAGAGGGUGACCGGCGACACUGGGACUGAGGUACGGCCCAGACUGCUACGGGAGGCAGAAGCGGGGAAUAUUGCACAAUCGGUGGAGGCCUGAUGCAGCAACGCCGUGUGCGGGAUGACGGUCUUAGGGUUGUAAACCGAUUUCGCUCAUGACGAAGCUUUGUGUGACGGUAGUGGGUAAAGAAGCACCGGCUAACUACGUG
rnacentral:rRNA from 1 species